CCCGAGAAAAAAAAACCCGCUAAUACUACUAGGAAUAUGUUUAACUUCCUGCUAAUCCUGUUAAGUUCCUGCUAAUACGGCUAAUCCUGUUCCAUAUCAAACCAUGUACAAUCAAUCAGCUUCAGAUUAUAAUAGCUUUGAAACAAUGAUAAUGAAAGUUUUUUCAUCGUUCUAAAUUUAUGCUACAGUUAUGAUCGUAAAAGAUUAAAAAAAUCUUAUGGGUGCACUUAUUCUACUGACACCUGCGAAAUUACCAAAAGAACUGACCAUCGCUGUUUAUUGUAUUUUUUUAAAUGUUCUAGUUAAACAAUCUAUCACUUAA
rnacentral:lncRNA from 1 species